CUCGUUCAGCAUAGCAUAGCAAUAACAGUCGGCGUGAAGAGCUUCACAGGUAGAUCCUCCAACAUAAUUUCCAAAACCCUAAUUACUACCAACCAAACCCAUUCCCGCUUCAUCUCCUUUCUCUUCCUCCACUAGACCAGACCCACCCCUUUCGCAGCUCGAUCUAAGGUAUAUAUAUACAGGCUUCUAGCUGUAUUUCAAAAUUCAUUUAACUAUAUAUAUACAUACAUGUGUGAAUUUAUGCUUUAAUUCUAUAGGAACUUGUGUAUUUCUAAAAAUUUUAUUGUUUUGACAUAAUAUAUAUAUACUCAAGUGUUUACCAUAUAAUUAAUAUGGCCUUAUAUCGGACCACAUCCUUAUAAUUUCACCCAUUGACCAUGUUAGUUGGAGUUUCCUCCCCUUAAUUUAUCAAUUUAUUUACUUGUAGAAAUGGCAUAGGGCAGAUAUAUAAUCUUGUGAAUUACGAGUUCUAAUUUCUGGAACUUAUAAACUGUGUUUCAUUAAACAUAAGCUUUUGUUUGAUAUAAAUGUUGUUUACGUGUUAAGUUUGAAGGUUAAACGAAAAUAAAAAACCUCCUUGAGAUGCAUGAUUAUCGAACAGUUUUUUUCAUUUAAAUUCAGCCCGUUUGAAAAUCACCAAAAAACUGGGUUAGUUAGUUGUGUGCAAGGUUGGCAGGUUUAGUUAACAAUAUUCAUGUACUUGUUCUUAGUCCAAACUUUUUCUUUUUUAUUAUUUUGGUCUAAACUUAAAGAAGGGCAAUGUUAUGCAUAUGCUGGCUUGGCAUGGGACCUAGUAGAAACAAUGGGUAGGCAAAAGCUAAGAAAAUUGGACAGAGGUAAAUUUAAUCUAUUUAUAUUUUUACCCCGUUAGAGGUCAAAACACAAAUAAAUAAAAUUCAAAUAUAUUUAUAUUUAAUUUUUAUGUCCACGUAGAGUGAGUUCAUGUUGUGCUAUAUAUGCCAACUUGCGAGGCUACAUAUUAAAAACAAUGGUAAAUACAAUAAAUUUUUGAGUUUUUAAUUUUAAAAAAAAUGAUAUAUUUUGCAAUCCUAUUCGUAUAUUUUGUAAUUCGGCUUUCUAAUGCAUACAAAGAAUCUUUAAUUAAUGUGUAUGCUAGUCUACUCAUUUCAUCUCUUAUACAUCUAGUAGCCACAUUUAGUCGUCGUCGGCGGCGGCAUGCAUACAUUUAUUGAUUAUGGUUAGGAGUUGCUGUUACACACUUACACUACACUUGUUUAAAUUGCUGAUUUAGGUUAGAUAUAUGAAUGUUGACAUGAUACAAAAUAUGAUCCACAAUUAUUUUUACAAUAAAUUUUUCGUUAUAAAUUCUAUAACGAUGAUUAUGAAAAAUAUCAAUUUACAAAACAAUAAAUCUUGGCGGACAACUUUAUGGGAUAGGAAAACUGGACAGGUGUAAUUUUUUAUUUUUUUUUAUUUGUGACUUCCAAAAAAUGUAUAGUAUAUAUUUCAACAGAAAUUUUUAUAAAAUAUAAUAUUUUAGGUGUAAUUUGGAUACAUGUAUAACUCUGUUUUUGCAUUGCGAUACUUUAUGACUUUAUGCUUUUCGUUAACGUGCACGUCACAUGUAAAUAGUACGCUAUCCAGCAGAGCUAGGCACUUCGUUACUUGGGUGUAGGAGCUUAAAUAAAUUGACUUGAGUAUGUAGUCGUUAGAUUUAGUUUAUAAAAUUUUAAUGAAUAUGAUUUAAAGUAUUAAUAAAAAAUUAUAAUUUAAAAAAAUUUAAAUAA
rnacentral:lncRNA from 1 species